rnacentral:lncRNA from 1 species
UCAAACUAGGCGUUAAUAGCACCAAAUCAUUAGUGCUAUUAGAUUUUCGGGCUUUGGAUAAAGGAGUGUGCGGUUAAGAUGAUAGUGAUUCCCUAGUCACCAUUUGGUUCAGGAUUAAGGGGUGGAAUAACCCUUUAACCCUGAAGUUAUUCCCAAACAUCCAAUUUGAGGGGUGGGGUUAGCUAACCCAACCCUAUCACAGCCAAACAUUAUUUUCUAUUUAUAAUAACCUACUAUCCUUCUUAUCCCACUUACUCCAACCAAAUACUAUUUUAUCUAUACCUGGACUAAACUCAAUUUUCAACCAAAUACAAAAUUACUCUAACCCCAUCUUAACCCUAAACUUAACCAUAUUCCUGGAAUAACAAAUUUUUACUCCGAACCAAACGGUAGCCUAGGGUUUAGUGGGCGGUUGUUGGAAUGAUAUGAUCUAAGGGAUGAAAAUGAUCAAAAGGAUGGAUUUCACGAUUAAAAAUCUAGUAGCACCAGGUGCUUGAUACCGUUGAUAGUAUUGUAGUUG